rnacentral:lncRNA from 1 species
CCUCGGCUCGGCCUGGGCGCACCUUUUCUCCCUCCUGCCACAAUGUGAGCGCUCAGCCGAGCAGAUAACCGCCGGCUGCCUGCUCCACCCCCGGCCCUUGCCCACUCCGCCCACUCCCGAGCGCCCAGAGGAUGCUGACUGCAGGGAUGGAGGAACUUUUUCCACUGCAGAAGAACAAUGUGGUGCCUAUGGGAACAUGCCAUGUGACCAUUCUCCAUUCCUCCCAGCAAGGCACGCUGGGUGAUGUGAAGAACCCAGGAAGGAAAGCUGGAGGAGAGCAUGGUGGGUGGCAGAGCGGGAUUUGGGGAAGCCCUGAGCCCUGCUCCAUCUGACCCUCAGUACAUCUGUCUCCGUCACUGUCUACCUGCCCUGCUCACGCGUGCCCCUCACUCACCCCACGGCAACAGGCCUAUCUUUCCCCCAACAUCAAAAGAGCUAUUUCAGCGACUGUCGCUGUACCUGGCCCAUAGCCUCUAGUCUAUAUAUGUCUGUCAAAUGAAUUGGCUAUAAACAUGAAAAGGUUUCUCCUGAAAAGGUGUGCCCAUGGCCUAUUCGGUGUUGACCCACUUUCCCUUGAAGUCAGAAAGUCAAACAGAACAAUCUGGUCUUGAGGAGUCUGAGUCCUGAGGGCCUGAACCAGAUAAUGAAGAGCAGAGAGCUGAAGGAAAAGAAGAAGAAAAUCGUGUUGGCCAGGCCAGAACAGAUGGAUCUUUUUCUGAACAAGUUGUUCAUGUCACCCAGACUGGAACUCUCGAUG